rnacentral:lncRNA from 1 species
GAAGCCCAUAGCAAGCAAUCGAGCUCGAAAGCAAAGGAAUCGAGGUUCCGGAGAUCGCGGAAUAGUCCCGGAGAUCGCGGAGCAGUUACGGAGAUCACGAAGUCGACUCACUAUAAAGAAAGGCGAGGAGACAUGAAGAAGGACACGUUGAAAACCCUAGAGAGAGCUACACACUUACAUCGACUUUGUUUUCCUCCCGAUCUUAGACUCUUUCUUUACGAAUCUCGCUUGUAUCACUCGAUCUAGUUCAACUCAUUGUAUUCUAUCUUAUUCAUCAAUAAAGUCCAUUUUUACCUACUGGAAACUAUUUAACAUCGUUGUGUUCUUAAGAUAUCGUUGCCUACAUCAUCUGUCUUCCCUAGAUCAAACCCCGAUGACUAUCAAAUACUGAGUGUAGAUUUUAGGUUCUAAAACCAUGAAUUGUGAAGAUGGGUUAGGAGUUAGAUCUUGUAGCAUACACCUGCAAUAGUUUGGACAAUACGAUCAAACUUGCAAUUAAACCAUGGCAAAUAAAAAGACAUACAACAACCAAUACCUAUAAACCAGAGCAUAUAAAGAGAGACAUCAUGUUAGAUACAAACACUUGACUGACCA